AUGGCGACCGGCGCACGGGUGAGUAACACGUAUCCAACCUGCCGAUAACUCGGGGAUAGCCUUUCGAAAGAAAGAUUAAUACCCGAUGGUAUAAUCAGACCGCAUGGUUUGAUUAUCAAAGAAUUUCGGUUAUCGAUGGGGAUGCGUUCCAUUAGGCAGUUGGUGAGGUAACGGCUCACCAAACCUUCGAUGGAUAGGGGUUCUGAGAGGAAGGUCCCCCACAUUGGAACUGAGACACGGUCCAA
rnacentral:rRNA from 1 species